rnacentral:rRNA from 1 species
CACUGGAACUGAGACACGGUCCAGACUCCUACGGGAGGCAGCAGUGGGGAAUAUUGCACAAUGGGCGCAAGCCUGAUGCAGCCAUGCCGCGUGUAUGAAGAAGGCCUUCGGGUUGUAAAAUACUUUCAGCGGGGAGGAAGGUGUUGUGGUUAAUAACCGCAGCAAUUGACGUUACCCGCAGAAGAAGCACCGGCUAACUCCGUGCCAGCAGCCGCGGUAAUACGGAGGGUGCAAGCGUUAAUCGGAAUUAC